rnacentral:tRNA from 1 species
UCCCUGGUGACCCAGUGGUUAAGAUUCUGCACUGCCAGUGCAGGGGGACCAGGUUCGAUCCCUGAUCAGGGAA